rnacentral:tRNA from 1 species
UCCUCUGAUAGCUCAGAUGGUAGAGCAUGAGACUGUAGAUCUUGUGGUCGCGUGUUCGAGUCACGCUCGGAGGAACC